ACACAUGCAAGUCGAGCGAGACCUUCGGGUCUAGCGGCGGACGGGUUAGUAACGCGUGGGAACGUGCCCUUCUCUGCGGAAUAGCCACUGGAAACGGUGAGUAAUACCGCAUACGCCCUUCGGGGGAAAGAUUUAUCGGAGAAGGAUCGGCCCGCGUUAGAUUAGAUAGUUGGUGGGGUAACGGCCUACCAAGUCUACGAUCUAUAGCUGGUUUUAGAGGAUGAUCAGCAACACUGGGACUGAGACACGGCCCAGACUCCUACGGGAGGCAGCAGUGGGGAAUCUUAGACAAUGGGCGCAAGCCUGAUCUAGCCAUGCCGCGUGUGUGAUGAAGGUCUUAGGAUCGUAAAGCACUUUCGCCAGGGAUGAUAAUGACAGUACCUGGUAAAGAAACCCCGGCUAACUCCGUGCCAGCAGCCGCGGUAAUACGGAGGGGGUUAGCGUUGUUCGGAAUUACUGGGCGUAAAGCGCGCGUAGGCGGAUUGGAAAGUUGGGGGUGAAAUCCCGGGGCUCAACCCCGGAACUGCCUCCAAAACUAUCAGUCUAGAGUUCGAGAGAGGUGAGUGGAAUUCCAAGUGUAGAGGUGAAAUUCGUAGAUAUUUGGAGGAACACCAGUGGCGAAGGCGGCUCACUGGCUCGAUACUGACGCUGAGGUGCGAAAGUGUGGGGAGCAAACAGGAUUAGAUACCCUGGUAGUCCACACCGUAAACGAUGAAUGCCAGUCGUCGGGCAGUAUACUGUUCGGUGACACACCUAACGGAUUAAGCAUUCCGCCUGGGGAGUACGGUCGCAAGAUUAAA
rnacentral:rRNA from 1 species